rnacentral:rRNA from 1 species
ACAUGCAAGUCGAACGAAGACCUUCGGGUCUAGUGGCGCACGGGUGCGUAACGCGUGGGAAUCUGCCCUUGGGUUCGGAAUAACGUCGGGAAACUGACGCUAAUACCGGAUGAUAUCGAAAGAUCACAGAUUUAUCGCCCAGGGAUGAGCCCGCGUAGGAUUAGCUAGUUGGUGGGGUAAAGGCUCACCAAGGCUACGAUCCUUAGCUGGUCUGAGAGGAUGAUCAGCCACACUGGGACUGAGACACGGCCCAGACUCCUACGGGAGGCAGCAGUAGGGAAUAUUGGACAAUGGGGGCAACCCUGAUCCAGCAAUGCCGCGUGAGUGAUGAAGGCCUUAGGGUUGUAAAGCUCUUUUACCCGAGAUGAUAAUGACAGUAUCGGGAGAAUAAGCUCCGGCUAACUCCGUGCCAGCAGCCGCGGUAAUACGGAGGGAGCUAGCGUUGUUCGGAAUUACUGGGCGUAAAGCGCACGUAGGCGGCGAUUUAAGUCAGAGGUGAAAGCCCGGGGCUCAACCCCGGAACUGCCUUUGAGACUGGAUUGCUAGAAUCUUGGAGAGGCGGGUGGAAUUCCGAGUGUAGAGGUGAAAUUCGUAGAUAUUCGGAAGAACACCAGUGGCGAAGGCGGCCCGCUG